UAUAUUUGCCGCUCGAAAGAAAAUCUUUCGUGUACAUAAAAAUCAUUUACAAUAAUAUUAGCAUG
rfam:Tamlana sp. s12 contig6, whole genome shotgun sequence.